rnacentral:rRNA from 1 species
UACGUAGGGUGCAAGCGUUAAUCGGAAUUACUGGGCGUAAAGCGUGCGCAGGCGGCUUUGCAAGACAGAUGUGAAAUCCCCGGGCUUAACCUGGGAACUGCAUUUGUGACUGGCAGGCUAGAGUAUGGCAGAGGGGGGUAGAAUUCCACGUGUAGCAGUGAAAUGCGUAGAGAUGUGGAGGAAUACCGAUGGCGAAGGCAGCCCCCUGGGCCAAUACUGACGCUCAUGCACGGAAAGCGUGGGGAGCAAACAGGG